AUGUUUAGACAAGCCUCUGCCCUGGAGGUGGGAGAUGAUGAAGACCCGUAUGCCUGGUUGUCAAAAACAGCUCCUCCAUCCCCUGGUCUUGAACGGAGUUUGGGUUAUGAUGAGUCGGAUCCCAGUAGAGAAUCAGAUCCCGGAUACAAGAUAACCCUGUUUAACAGGU